AAGAGAGGACGAGGGAGACAGUUCCUGGUGGAUUGGGAGGGUUAUGGCCCGGAGGAGAGGUCUUGGAUCCCAUCCAGUUUCGUGCUGGAUCGGACCUUAAUUGAUGACUUUUACAGACACCAGCCUAAGGCACUUCACUUCCUCCCUUUGUGUGAGUUUUCCCUCCACUGUGAUCGUCUCCUCGUUACCUGAUUCGUCUCACCUGGGCUCCCCUCCCUCAUGUAUAAAUAGACCCUGUCUCCCUUUGUCUCGUGUCAGUUCGUCGUGUCUACCAUGCAUGUUCCACGUCCAGAAAAACCAGGUUUUGGGUCUCGUUUCUGUUUUCCGUAUUAGUGAGCCUUUUGUAGUAACCUCCUGUGUGAGCGCUUUAUGUUGUAUUUUUGCAGCCUCCUUGAGAGCGUUUUUUGUUCUGCCUUUCAUUCAAGUAAAGACUUUUUGUUAUACUUCCUGCUUCUGAGUUUUUGCUUUUGAGUCUUCC